rnacentral:rRNA from 1 species
UACGUAGGGUGCAAGCGUUGUCCGGAAUUAUUGGGCGUAAAGGGCUCGUAGGCGGUCCAUCGCGUCGGGAGUGAAAAGCUGGGGCUCAACCCCAGUCCUGCUUCCGAUACGGGUGGACUAGAGGUAUGCAGGGGAGAACGGAAUUCCUGGUGUAGCGGUGAAAUGCGCAGACUAUCAAGAGGAACACCAGUGGCGAAGGCGAGUCCCUGGACGAUACCUGACACUGAGGCACGAAAGCCAAGGGAGCAAACAGG